rnacentral:rRNA from 1 species
UCGUAACAAGGUUUCUGUAGGUGAACCUGCAGAAGGAUCAUUAGUGAAGAUUUGGGCAGGCCAUACGGACGCCAAAAAGUGUCCCUGGCCGCCUACACCCACUAUACAUCCACAAACCCGUGUGCACUGUCUUGGAGAAAGGCUUCAGAGAAGUUUUUUGUGGCCUCUCUUGGGGUCUUUCUUCGCUACAAACUCGAAUGGUUAGUAUGAACGUGGAACUUGGUUGGACCGUCACUGGCCAACAAACUAUACACAACUUUCGACAACGGAUCUCUUGGUUCUCCCAUCGAUGAAGAACGCAGCGAAACGCGAUAGGUAAUGUGAAUUGCAGAAUUCCGUGAAUCAUCGAAUCUUUGAACGCACCUUGCGCUCUAUGGCAAUCCGUAGAGCAUGCCUGUUUGAGUGCCAUGAAAUCUCCCACCCCAAGCGGCUUUUAAAUGAAAUGGCUUGGCGGAUGGGGUCUGGAUGGGUGCCUCUGCCUGCGCUACCUAGCACAGGCUCGCCCGAAAUGCAUGAGCGCCUUGAGACACUUUGCAUCCGCCUCUCUGUUUGGGAGGAGGCGGCCAAGCAGUGUUUUUCUCCUGGCAUGGCAUGAUACGUCAUUUGCUAUGUCGCCUAAAGGAGGAAUGUUUGGUUGUGUCUGCGUGUGCUUCGAACUUGCCUCUGUGGCACAUCCCAAUUUCACUUCUGGUCUCAAAUCAGGUAGGAUCACCCGCUGAACUUAAGCAUAUCUCG